rnacentral:rRNA from 1 species
UACGGGGGGUGCAAACGUUGCUCGGAAUUAUUGGGCGUAAAGCGCACGUAGGCGGUCUUGUAAGUCGGGUGUGAAAGCCCGGGGCUUAACCCCGGAAGUGCACUCGAAACUGCAAGGCUUGAGUAUGGAAGAGGGUCUCGGAAUUCCCGGUGUAGAGGCGAAAUUCGUAGAUAUCGGGAGGAACACCGGUGGCGAAGGCGGCGACCUGGGUUGACAUUGACGCUGAGGCGCGAAAGCGUGGGGAGCAAACAGG